rnacentral:rRNA from 1 species
GGUAGUUGGCGGGGCAACGGCCCACCAAGCCCACGAUAUCUAGGGGUUCUGAGAGGAAGGUCCCCCACAUUGGUACUGAGACACGGACCAAACUCCUACGGGAGGCAGCAGUGAGGAAUAUUGGUCAAUGGACGAGAGUCUGAACCAGCCAAGUCGCGUGAAGGAAGACGGAUCUAUGGUUUGUAAACUUCUUUAGUGCGGGAACAAAGCGGCGUCGUGACGCCUGAUGAGUGUACCGCAAGAAUAAGCAUCGGCUAACUCCGUGCCAGCAGCCGCGGUAAUACGGAGGAUGCGAGCGUUAUCCGGAUUUAUUGGGUUUAAAGGGAGCGCGGGCUGCGAGGCAAGUCAGCGGUCAAAUGUCGGGGCUCAACCCCGGCCUGCCGUUGAAACUGUCCUGCUAGAGUUCGAGUGAGGUAUGCGGAAUGCGUUGUGUAGCGGUGAAAUGCAUAGAUAUGACGCAGAACUCCGAUUGCGAAGGCAGCAUACCAACUCGCGACUGACGCUGAGGCUCGAAAGCGUGGGUAUCGAACAGGAUUAGAUACCCUGGUAGUCCACGCAGUAAACGAUGAAUACUAACUGUUCGGAGGGCGACCUCUGAGUGGUAAAGCGAAAGCGUUAAGUAUUCCACCUGGGGAGUACGCCGGCA